rnacentral:rRNA from 1 species
GAUGAACGCUGGCGGCGUGCUUAACACAUGCAAGUCGAACGAUGAAGCUCAGCUUGCUGGGUGGAUUAGGGGCGAACGGGUGAGUAACACGUGAGUAACCUGCCCUUAACUCUGGGAUAAGGCUGGGAAACUAGGUCUAAUACCGGAUAGGAGCGCCUACCGCAGGGUGGGUGUUGGAAAGAUUUAUCGGUUUUGGAUGGACUCGCGGCCUAUCAGCUUGUUGGUGAGGGAAUGGCUCACCAAGGCGACGACGGAUAGCCGGCCUGGGAGGGUGACCAGCCACACUGGGCCUGCGACACGGCCCAGUCUCCUACGGGAGGCAGCAGUGGGGAAUAUUGCCCAAUGGGCGCAAGCCUGAUGCAGCGACGCCGCGUGAGGGAUGACGGCCUUCGGGUUGUAAACCUCUUUCAGUAGGGAAGAAGCGAAAGUGACGGUACCUGCAGAAGAAGCACCGGCUAACUACGUG